rnacentral:tRNA from 1 species
GCGAUCAUAGCUCAAUGGCGGAGCGCCUGAUUGUGGAUCAGGAGGUUGUGGGUUCGAGUCCCACUGGUCGCCCCU